rnacentral:rRNA from 1 species
CCGCCCGUCACACCAUGGAAGUGUAUUGCACCAGAAGCAGGUAGCCUGACCGCAAGGAGGGCGCCACCACGGUGUGGUCCAUCGACUGGGGUG